rnacentral:rRNA from 1 species
AUUGAACGCUGGCGGCAUGCUUUACACAUGCAAGUCGAACGGUAGAGGGGGCAACCCCUUGAGAGUGGCGAACGGGUGAGUAAUGCAUCGGAACGUGCCCAGUCGUGGGGGAUAACGCAGCGAAAGCUGUGCUAAUACCGCAUACGAUCUCUGGAUGAAAGCGGGGGACCGAAAGGCCUCGCGCGAUUGGAGCGGCCGAUGUCAGAUUAGGUAGUUGGUGGGGUAAGGGCCUACCAAGCCAACGAUCUGUAGCUGGUCUGAGAGGACGACCAGCAAGACUGGGACGGAGACACGGCCCAGACUCCUACGGGAGGCAGCAGUGGGGAAUUUUGGACAAUGGGCGCAAGCCUGAUCCAGCAAUGCCGCGUGCAGGAAGAAGGCCUUCGGGUUGUAAACUGCUUUUGUACGGAACGAAACGGUCUGGGUUAAUACCCUGGGCUAAUGACGGUACCGUAAGAAUAAGCACCGGCUAACUACGUGCCAGCAGCCGCCGUAA